GGAAUUUUAGGUCAACAUAGAGAUUUGUUGAAAUCCCAUGGCUCGAGUCUACUCCGAUCUCAAACCAAAUCCGGCAUCGAACAUCUCCAAUUCACCAUCUCUUCUCAUCGUUGGCCUCCGACUUUCUCUCUCUGUCCUACAUACGCCAAUUCAGCUUAUCCUCUUCUUCACAAAGGUACCGCGCGUAGCACCAACGUCUCCUCCAAUUGCAUACUCGUCAUCAUAACUAUGUCGUCUGAUUCGUUCGACUUCGAUCUCGAUACCUCCCCUAUUUCACUUCAGCUCCCACUUCAAGAGAUCAACCUUCGCGAUUAUGCCGCCAUAUUAUUCCCUCAUUGA